UGAACGCUGGCGGCGUGGAUUAGGCAUGCAAGUCGAACGCGAACGUUCCCUUCGGGGAGCUAGUAGAGUGGCGAAAGGGUGAGUAAUACAUGGUUAAUCUGCCCUCGAGAUUGGGAUAACUGGCCGAAAGGCCAGCUAAUACCAGAUAGCCUUCCGGCUCCAUAAGUUGCCGGUAGUAAACGGUGGGGAUCCUUCGGGACCUGCUGCUCGGGGAGGAGACCAUGUCCCAUCAGCUUGUUGGCGAGGUAACGGCUCACCAAGGCAAUGACGGGUAGCUGGUCUGAGAGGAUGGUCAGCCACACUGGGACUGAGACACUGCCCAGACUCCUACGGGAGGCUGCAGUCGAGAAUCAUCCGCAAUGGGCGAAAGCCUGACGGUGCGACGCCGCGUGGAGGAUGAAGGCCUUCGGGUUGUAAACUCCUGUCACAGGUUAAGAAUGUCCUAUCAUUAAUAGUGGUAGGGUUGACGUAACCCUGAGAGGAAGCACUGGCUAACUCC
rnacentral:rRNA from 1 species